AUUUCAAGUGGUGGCCUAGAAAUUGCAAAAGUUAGGCCACCAA
rnacentral:sRNA from 1 species